AUUGAACGCUGGCGGCAGGCCUAACACAUGCAAGUCGAGCGAGCGGCGGACGGGUGAGUAAUGUCUGGGAAACUGCCCGAUGGAGGGGGAUCACUACUGGAAACGGUAGCUAAUACCGCAUACCCUCGGAUGUGCCCCUAUGGGAUUAGCUAGUAGGUGGGGUAACGGCUCACCUAGGCGACGAUCCCUAGCUGGUCUGAGAGGAUGACCAGCCACACUGGAACUGAGACACGGUCCAGACUCCUACGGGAGGCAGCAGUGGGGAAUAUUGCACAAUGGGCGCAAGCCUGAUGCAGCCAUGCCGCGUGUAUGAAGAAGGCCUUCGGGUUGUAAAGUACUUUCAGCGGGGAGGCGUUACCCGCAGAAGAAGCACCGGCUAACUCCGUGCCAGCAGCCGCGGUAAUUC
rnacentral:rRNA from 1 species